UAAUAAGUGUUUUAUGGCACUUUUUAAAUCCAUAUCCAACCUUGUGUGCAAUGUCAGUCGAUCUUCUUCAUGGAGAUCGACCAAACAUCAACCUUUAUUUUUUAACUCUUUGUCUGAAAAAUAUUAUGAAUAAACAAUUCAAAAUA
rnacentral:misc_RNA from 1 species